UCUCAGUACAUUUAAAUUUUUGGGUGAACUAUUCCUCUAAUAGCAAUGAGUUUUUGUAUAUCAUCUAUUAUGAGAGUGCAUCAGUAGAGAUGUACCUGUAGUUUGUGUCAGAAAUAUUGCUGUAUUGGGAACUUUAUCAUCUGUUCAUUUUUGCUCAGUAACAUCAUAUUAGGGGUAAUCUGUCAGGUCAAUCAGUAAAUUUAAUUAUUAGGGAAGAUGUGAAAUUGUGAAUGAUUAUAUCUAUGCUUUUCUACAUAUCUCGUUCCAAAGCCAUAUCUUGCUGCACAUUAAUUCAUUCAAUUUUUGAGUGCCAGAAUUUAAGAUCAGAACAUUUGUGAACAUAGAUUGACUCUCCUUCCAUCCAGCUAUCAAUUUUCCAAACUGCUUGUCCUAUUCAGGGUCACAGCAUGGCAGCAUGGAGCCAGUACUAGCCUUUUGGUCCAUAGUCAGCCUCAUGAGGAUGUCACCUGGAAUGAUUUUCCAACAAUCUCUGGUCCAACUCAUUCCAAACCAUCUCAACUGGAUUUAGAUCACACCUUCAUGGUUUUGUCAGCCUCUGCUGUUAUGAGCCGACUCUCAGACUGAUCGAACACACACGCAAAGAGCCCAG